rnacentral:rRNA from 1 species
UACGAAGGGGGCUAGCGUUGCUCGGAAUCACUGGGCGUAAAGGGUGCGUAGGCGGGUUUCUAAGUCAGAGGGGAAAUCCUGGAGCUCAACUCCAGAACUGCCUUUGAUACUGGAAGUCUUGAGUAUGGGAGAGGUGAGUGGAACUUCGAGUGUAGAGGUGAAAUUCGUAGAUAUUCGCAAGAACACCAGUGGCGAAGGCGGCUCACUGGCCCGAUACUGACGCUGAGGCACGAAAGCGUGGGGAGCAAACAGG